ACCAACAGGAAACUGAGCGGAACAGGUGAAAUUUUCUGAAAUAAUUCUAAAUGUUU
rnacentral:snoRNA from 1 species